UUCCGUUGGCUCGUAGUAACAGAGCGAAAAUGGCGUAGAGCGGAGGGUGUGCGGAGACGGGGACGAGAGGACCUUCUCCUCUCCGGGGUGUAACGGAGGGAGGAAAGGGGGGCCCGGCGGGCCGGUUUGUCGGUUUAUUCUUCUCUUACCGUGUCUUCACCAAGCGCGGCCACACUCCAGAGAGGAAACCCGGCGUACGUCCAGUUUGGGAGAAAUGUGUCACCGUAGAGGAAGAAACCCCCCUGGCUUUUGUUUACCAUUGUGAGCUGCAGCAGCUCGAACCCCGGUGAAAAUACCUCUGCACCAUCUCGGACCAGCGCUCACACCAAGGAUGGGUUUUCCAGUCCAUGCCGUUCUGACACCAGCCGCAGCCCAGCCUGAAGGAACAACUCCCCUCAAAUCAGCCCCAGCAACACCAUCGACGGAUCACUUCAACAGCCACCCAGACUUGUGGAGGUAAAGGACGAAGAGUCACUGUGAAGAUGACCUCUUUUGGGCUUUUGGGACAUGGGUGCCCUCCUUCCUGCUGUUACUGGGACAUUGGCUCUCUCUCCUCCACACCAACCCCCCUCUCCUGGCCUGUUUCUGCAGCAUGAUCAUCAGUCAGGGCAUCUGCCAAUGCUGUGGACUAGUCUGACUUCCAUCACGCACACUCUGACUACGUCUACAUGUAGCGUAACGUCGGCUUUGCGGCCACUAAGUUGGCUGUAAGGUCGGGGGGAGUUUCAUGUCUCAGUGCAUGUAAACGUAGUCACUUCUGCCUCCUGAUUAAGUAGAAAAAAAAGUCCCCGUACGCUCUGUAAUUAGAUCAAAGCAGUUUGAUAAUGACCAAACUGCUCCGGUGUCCCGGGAAGAACGCAAAGACACAAGAUACUGUAGCAAAGAUCAAGGCCUGUGAUUAAAUUAGACUCAUAGGGUGUUUUUCGUUUGUUUCGUGCACUACCUCAUCGCCAUAACAAGUCCAACAGGGAGUGAAUGAUCAGUACAAGUAGCAUAAUGGUUGUCAAGCGCCACAGCAGUUUUAUACGUUGUUCCUGGAUUCAUUUAGGUUUGAAUAGGAGAAGGCCGAGCAGCCCAGAAGCACACAAUGCGUCAUUUACUAUUCAGUUUAAAGGUUUUGACUGCGGUCCCCUAUGCAUCUGCUCUAAAGGACGGUCACAAGGAAGUGUUUUUACGUCAUGCUCUAAUUUGCAUUUCGGUGCUCUCUUUCUGUGGAGGUUUAUUCCCAAAUUGAAGGUAAAGACAGAAUUGGCAAUUUCCCCCUUGUGACAUCGUCCUUGAGAUCCCAAAAAUUUGCCGAUUUACAGUAUUUAAAGAUAAUCGUUUUUUCCCCUUUUUACUAUCUUCAUUUUUUCUUUCUUCCCCCUCCUUUAGUAUACUUUUAUGUUGUCUUUCUCCGUGGAUAUGCUCUCAUUUUGUCCUCUCCCCCACUUGACAUGAGCUCUCAUAUAAGAGACGUACAAACAUGACAUUCUCAACACGCUGCAGGUAGAGACACAAUUGACUUUUUGAUUCCUUUUGUGCCACGAGCCAAAACAGUCCCUAACAAUAAGUGAACCUGGCUUAUCAAACAUCACGCUUCGUCUCUACCUGCCGUCUCUGUGUCCAGUAAGCGGAGAGAUACCAGUGCUGAAGUAGCAGCUCCUUUGAUUCAAGCUUGGAUUCAAACCCUGGUCUCAUUUCUUCAACUUUCUUUUGGUUCAUUUUUUAUAUGAUGAAAAAAAAAAUCACAUUUACCGGGAUUUGUGCAAUAUUUGAUCUUAACUGUCAUGUUGUUGACCAAACUGUAUAUUGUAUAAACAAGUGACAAGUUGUUUGAAAGCAACAAAAUCACCAAUGUCUUCCAUUAAGAUAUGUAUAGACUCAUGCGCAUUAGCUUAUUUAGCGGGACUUUUGCGGUGCCAACAUUAUAGUAGCCAUGCAUGACCAGUAGUGAUGCUUGCUUCAUGAAGAAUAGUGAAAUCAGUUUCUAGACUAAGCUGGAGCUCAAAAACUGCAGAAAACCAUUUUAGUCAAAUUAGAGGGUGGUAGAUUGACGUACUGCGCCUUUAAACACACCACGGUUAGGUACAGCUUUGCCCUAAAAUCUUAGACUAAUACAAGACCUCCUUUUUAUUCCAUGUGUUGGGUGUAGAAUAAGAAACAUACGAUUAAACACAAUCAGGGUUUAUGCAGUUAAUAUGUAUUGAUUCAAGUUUAUUUAGGCGCAUAUGCUCAAUAUAAGUAAGUGCUUUUUAACUGAACUGCUGUAGGAUUCUUGUCUGAAAAAACAAACGCUUAAGAGAUGUCGUAAAUUAACCCAGCUGCCAGAAAAAAAAAAAGUUGGUGUUAUAUGUUUCUGCAUUCCACGUGUUUACAGUGCAACAACGCUGUGAUUAAAGUAUCGUUAGGUUUAGGCACGAAAACCACUUGGUUAUGGUUAGGACAAGAUCGUGUGUUAGCUUAAAAUACCCGGUUUUCGGGGCACAAUCCCGGCAGGAAAAGCAGCGAUGUCUCGAUGAAAAACAACUGCUUGUUCGUGACACUAUCCCACAAAGAGUUGCUCCAAAACACCCACGUUUGGAGCCUAAAUAGCCGCUCAAACUAGAGAUGUACGAUAAUAUCGGCAUGUCAUUGCUAUUGGCCGGUAUUUAAGAUGAACUGUUGGAAUCGGCCAACAUGCUUUUUCUUAUUUUGCACAAUGAAUGAAUAUUACGUACAUUGAAAAAUAUUAUAUUUCAUGUCUCCAUCUGCUGGUGGGCCAUCAUGAUAAGAGUAUGCAUGUAUAAUAUGAUGUUAAUUCCACUACAGAAGAGACUUGAUGAUCACUAAAAUUAGGUGGGGAAAAAAGUGGAUAUAUCGAUAUCUGUAUCAGUUAUCGGCAAAAGUAAAUAUUGGCAUAUCAGAUAUCGGCAAAGAAAUCCAAUAUUGUGCUUCCCUAGCUAAAACACAAACGUUUUUUUUUUGUGCAUGUUGGUCUCGAACAGAGGUCUGCUGUAGUGACGGGCAAAAAUGAACGAAUGAAUCUUUUUGAACGACUCUUUUUAGUGUCCGAUAUGUAACGAGUCAGUCUGUCGAACAUGCAAGUGCUCAUGAAUCCCUGACUUUUCCCACUUGCUGUUGUCACACUACAUGCUAUGAUGAGUGAACAAGAAGCAAUCAAAUCAUGCUUAAGUCAAGACCUCCACGAGCCAAGGGCAAUGGUGCAUUCACGUUCACCUGGAUGGUCGCUCUUUUGACUUCAGUUUGGUCAUGAGCUUUAAAUUGUAAUGUUGAAACAACAAAUUAUCCUGACACCACAUAAAUGCAGCACAAGGCAGCAGAGGAAACUGGGACGUCUGCUUCUUGCCCCUCAAAGAAUGAUAGACUGUUGGUCAGUGACAUUUCUGUAACAUCGGCUUAUAUAUUACAUCACUUUAGAAACAAUUAUGUGGUUCAUAUGAAGCGUGCAAAUAUUACGUCUUUGUGGUCUGCAGAAACUCACAAUGCCAACAUUUUCCUCUGGUGACUGAGCUGCCUAAAUCGUAUUCAUGCACUCUCAAGCAGCAAAAGAAUUAGGAAGUCAUUAUGCAACAGCCAAAAAGCUCCUGAAAAACGUGUCUCAGUUGUGACAAAGAUAAAAACCUUUAGAGAAACGUUCUAUUAAGAGUAGCGCUUUAAUCUUAGAUUUGGGUAUAAUUGGUGGGGAUCCGACGUAGCGUUUUAGUCCUAGAAUUAAGAUCUCACCAUGACAUUGUAUUGUACAUAAUACCUCAUAGUUUUGGGAUUCAGAGCGAGAUAUUUUAAUCCAUAAAAUUGUAUUUGAUUAUAGUUUUAGAAGCAAUAACCUACAAUAAUGCAUGAGUUUAGUGCCAGGGUGUAAGUGUUAAAAGGAGUCUGUAAUGUCAUGUGGAAAGAAUUCCUCCCCUCUCUCCUUUAUGCUUACAGUAGCUGUCUAUUAGUCACUUUUUGUUUGGGGAGUGGCUUAAUAUUUGGCUUUAGAAUACAGUAUCACUUAAUGAAGGUUUGGGAUACUUCCUGUAGAACAAAGUAUACGCGAGAACAGUAGCAUCGUGGUAUUACACAGACAAAUUAAAGCAAAUAGUUAUAUUUUUCCCUGCCUUGUAUUCUUGUAUUCAACACCAAAACAAUAAACGUAUAGGUACAUGAGAGAUGCUUUACAAUUCUUGUAGCAUUUUUACAUCCACAAAAACCCGCCCCUUCCUUUUAGAAAUCUAGACUUUCAGUAACUCUGUGGCUGCAAAGGACUUACUGAAUGAACUUGACACUUGUUUGAAAAGCACUUUCUCUCUAUGUACUGACUUGCACUGUCAUCAUCACCAUCCUGUCUUGAAUACUGUGUUCUAAAAACCCUGUAAUGCUCUUCGUGGGGAUUUAUAAUCACAAUUUAUAAGCAAGUAGGCGUCUAGCAACAUGAAUAUAUGGGUUUAAAAAAUAUGCAUGACUUAGCAGAAUAACGAAUGAUUUGUAUUGCAUGCAAUAAUCCAACUUUGUAAUGUGAAUGAGUGUAAUUAGGCUCUUGAAACGUUCAUAUCAGAUGUUCUGUGACAAAGGUGACAACCUGGGGACGGCUGUUUGACACAACAGCGAGCAUGUCGGAGUAGCUUCGAUCACCACUUGUGAUUUUUACGGACUAAACUGCACCAAAAAAUAAAGUAACGGAGAGUAGUUUUAAGUGUUUCCUGCUCUCACUCUGUUGUGUCAAACAUGACCGUGGCAGUGCGGCCACAGUGCAGCUGAAAAACACUGAUCAGCCUUUGUUCCCAUGAUAAAAAAAAAAAUAACAAAAGCUUAGGUUAAAUGAUUAAUGACAUUACUUUGUUGAUCAACUUUUCCACUGAGGAGGUGGACUGUGUAGAAACUAUGCACUCCAGAGGGAGGAAAUGGGCAUGCUUAUUACGUGUGAGCCUCUUGUCUGGUUUUGUAUUAACUAAAGAUAAAAAAAAAAAGAAUCUGUAUCAGAAAUUGAGCAAUAAAAUGCAGCAUGGUGCCAAUUGGA